CGAUGAACCACUUCGGUGGGGAUUAGUGGCGAACGGGUGAGUAACACGUGGGCAAUCUGCCCUGCACUCUGGGACAAGCCCUGGAAACGGGGUCUAAUACCGGAUACUGAUCAUCUUGGGCAUCCUUGGUGAUCGAAAGCUCCGGCGGUGCAGGAUGAGCCCGCGGCCUAUCAGCUUGUUGGUGAGGUAAUGGCUCACCAAGGCGACGACGGGUAGCCGGCCUGAGAGGGCGACCGGCCACACUGGGACUGAGACACGGCCCAGACUCCUACGGGAGGCAGCAGUGGGGAAUAUUGCACAAUGGGCGAAAGCCUGAUGCAGCGACGCCGCGUGAGGGAUGACGGCCUUCGGGUUGUAAACCUCUUUCAGCAGGGAAGAAGCGAAAGUGACGGUACCUGCAGAAGAAGCGCCGGCUAACUACGUGCCAGCAGCCGCGGUAAUACGUAGGGCGCGAGCGUUGUCCGGAAUUAUUGGGCGUAAAGAGCUCGUAGGCGGCUUGUCGCGUCGGUUGUGAAAGCCCGGGGCUUAACCCCGGGUCUGCAGUCGAUACGGGCAGGCUAGAGUUCGGUAGGGGAGAUCGGAAUUCCUGGUGUAGCGGUGAAAUGCGCAGAUAUCAGGAGGAACACCGGUGGCGAAGGCGGAUCUCUGGGCCGAUACUGACGCUGAGGAGCGAAAGCGUGGGGAGCGAACAGGAUUAGAUACCCUGGUAGUCCACGCCGUAAACGGUGGGCACUAGGUGUGGGCGACAUUCCACGUCGUCCGUGCCGCAGCUAACGCAUUAAGUGCCCCGCCUGGGGAGUAC
rnacentral:rRNA from 1 species